rnacentral:snRNA from 1 species
AUAUAUAUAUACAUAAUAAAAUUGGAAUGAUAUAGAGAUGAUUAGCAUGUCUCCUGCACAUGAACAACAUGCAAGUUCAUGAAGUUUUCCGUAUAUUU